UUGAAAUAAUUCGAGUUAGGACAAAGUAUGGCUUCUUAUAUUUAGGAACAGAAGUAGUAUAUGUUGCUGCAGUUUGAUCCUUGUGGGGAUCAUCCCCUUUUCCCGAAAAAUUCCCACCCCGAAACUUUCUCCUCUCCCCGUGACUACCCUAGAUCAGCGCCACCUCCUCCCUCGCUGCCGCCGGACAAAGCCGUCGCGGUGGAGGCGGCGGGGCCCUGUCUUGCGGCUUCGUUCGGUGGUGCUCGGCGAGGCGACCAGGAUCUCCAUGGCGGCGGUGCUUCCCUGGUCGCGACGGUCCUCGGGCCGCGGCGCGUCGGCGGUGGCGGACCCCCCUGGCCGCGGGUCAUCCUGGCUAGUCUGCCUGGCUGGCUUGGCUAGGGGCUGGUCAUUGGUCUAUAUUGCUUAAGACCGGUCUGCCCUGGUCGCUGGCCUUGGCGGCUGCACGCGGUCCCCGGUCGGUUGGCGGCGGCGUCCCUUGCGUUGGCGGGCAAGUGCAGCGGCCGGACUGGCUUUGGUGCGGGUGCGGCCGCCAGUGGGCUUUCCUCAUCCUCUACAAUUCUGGUAGUCGGUGUCCUUUGUCGGCUAAGCGGAUUUGGUGGUGCGGGUUUGUACUGGGGGAAACCCUUGGUUCCCAAGUGAAAACUCAAAGUCCUUGGACUAGACGGUGGCGGCGCUAAAGGUGUGUGGGGGUCUUGGUUGGUGGAUGGCUGCUGGAAGCAUGCUCGUCGGUGGUUCUGGCUUUCCUCGUCGUUGCCAAGUUUGACAAGUUCAAUGCUUUGAUCAUCUUCCCGAAGAUGAGAUAGUGGAAGACGUUGGCGGCAGAUUCUAGAGUGUGUCCAUACUCCACAUGCUGAGAGGUUGUUUGACAGGUUGUUCCUUCGUGUGUCUUCCGGAUUUGAUUGUUGGGCGGUGGUGUGCGGUCAGGGCAUGCUUCCCCAAUAAUGGCUACCUCCUUCAUCAGGCUUGUAGGUAUGGAUUUGUGGUUUUGGCUUGAUUGAUCGAUGUAUUUUUCUUGUUAGGCUUAUUAAAUAAAUCAACAAAAUUGGUUG